rnacentral:lncRNA from 1 species
CUCAAUCCCACCAUAACAGGCUGAAAUUUCAGAAGCCUUUUAGGUUUUAUCGUAAGAAGUGUUUUGUGCAUCUGGGCCCUGGUGGAUAAAAUGUGGACGCCACCUGCGCGUACUCUGCAAAUAAUCAGUACUCAACAAUCUGCGGUGGUGAUUACAGGUCCUUAGUGAUGUGGGCGCCAAGGACCUUGAAGCUCUCAACCCGCUCCACUACAGCCCCGUCGAUGUGUAUAGGGGCGUGCUCAGCUCUCCUCCGUCGAUGUUAAUGCGGUGGUUGCUUGAUCCUUCCAGUGUUAGGAGAGUUGAAAUGGAAAUAGCAGGCCAUUAGGUAUCAUGCGUAGGAUGUGGGCCAAUACACUCCCCCAAAUGUCUGAGGGCCCUCCAAAAGGCAUAAAGAGCCUUUGCCUCUGACGUUCCUUUUAAGCCUUCUGUGAGAAAAGACAGGAUACAGAACAAGAGAAACCUGAAGGCCUAUGCUCUCUGUUCAAUGGCUGUCCAGAUCCACUGGGGGUUUCGCUGUUGCAUGUUGCAGAAUUUAUGAUACAGUGUGAAG